AGUUUAUUUUUAAAUGGUUGAAAAAAGUCAUGUUAUUAUUCUAUGAGAUGAAAAUAGGAGCACUGAAGCGCCAGCGCCAGAAUGUGACCGUCUCCAACUCCACCAAUGCUGGUCCUAGAACAAAAUACUAUUGAUAAACAAUUGUAAAAAUUUAUGAAUUGAGCAGGAAACACCCUACUUAUCUACAUGCAAGUACACGGCAAACCACCAAACCGCGCCUCCCAAAGAUACGGCCCGGACGGGAACACUACUCUAAAAAGAGAGCACAGAGAACACAUUAGGGCAUUGGAUAUCCACACACAUCAUGUUGUCCUACAGGAAUUACGACGCCAUCCGGUAGAGCAACCGUUGCGUAGUGGCACAAGUCACAAUACAGGUAAAAGGGAGGUGACUGAGGCUGAAACAGAUAUAUGGGAGAAAUUCAGGUCACCCUGCUACAUAUAUAUAUAUAUAUAUGUAUAUAUUAUCUAUACACGAUAAAAUCUUAAUCUUAGUAGUUACUGUUGACAUUAUUUUGGUAACAAUGUAUACUUUUGAUGUACACUUCUAAUCGAACAUUUUCAUGCGACGUCUUUUGUGAAUAGAUUUGCCAGCUACAACCAUCCGAUAGCUUUUUGGUCUUUGAUUGAGCCUUGUCUCUACAAGAUGGUCUGUGUUUCCAGAGCCAAAUCAGCUGCCCAGAAAAAAGAAGUGGUCGCACCUGCACGUGCAUCAACAGUAUUUUAUAAGUAGUUACAGAUGUAAUUAUACGUGAUGCCAUUGCAUUUGUAUUUGUUGUUUUUGAGCUAUACUUUUUUUCUUUUCCUCUCAGAGACAGCUGCUCCAGCCCAUAGAUUAA